UACGUAGGUGGCAAGCGUUGUCCGGAUUUACUGGGCGUAAAGAGCGCGCAGGCGGUCGGAUAAGUCGAAUGUGAAAGCCCCCGGCUCAACUGGGGAGGGUCAUUCGAUACUGUUCGACUCGAAGGCAGGAGAGGGUAGUGGAAUUCCCGGUGUAGUGGUGAAAUGCGUAGAUAUGCGGAGGAACACCGAUGGCGAAGGCAAUCCCCUGGGCCUGCACUGACGCUCAUGCACGAAAGCGUGGGGAGCAAACAGG
rnacentral:rRNA from 1 species